UUUUUUUUUUUUUUUUUUUUUUUUUUGUCUUUCCUAGGGCUGCUCCCACAGCCUAUGGAGGGUCCCAGGCUGGGGGUCCAAUUGGAGCUAUAGCCACCGGCCGGGGUCCCAGCCGCAUCUGCGACCUACACCACAGCUCAUGGCAACACCGAAUCCUUAACCCACUGAGCAAGGCCAGGGAUCGAACCCGCAACCUCAUGGUUCCUAGUCAGGUGCGUUAACCAGUGCACCAUGCUGGGAACUUCCAGAUGUCAUCUUGACAGGACAGAAUUUCUCCCUUUUUCUUCCAACCUCAGACUUGCUUAUCUUUUGUUCUUUCUUUUUUUUUUUUUCUUUCAGGGGCCACACCCACGGUAUAUGGAAGGUCCCAGGCUAGUGGCUGAAUCGGAGCUGCAGCUGCCAACCUACACCACAGCUCACGGCAACACGGGAUCCUUAACCCACUGAGUGGGGCCAGGGAUUGAACCUGUGUCCUCAUGGAUGGUAGCCAGAUUCAUUUCCGCUGAGCCACGACGGGAACGCCCUUGCUUAUCUUGAGAACGAGCUCUCACACCUGUCCAGUCACCUAAGGACCAGAGCCAGAUGGAGAGAGAAGUGGGUGUGUCCCCUCCCUGGGUGCCUUUGGCUGAAUGAUGUCACCUUAUGGGGCCUCCGAGUCCUCAUGUGCAGAAGGGGGUGAUGGUCACCGUAGGUCGGCCUGUGGGGUGGGGGCAGCUUCCAGGGAAGGUCACACCCUUAGCCAAGCACGUAGCACGGAGCCUGGGUGUGCUGAGGCCCGGCAAUGGUCGCUGCUAUUAUCGCUAUUAUCUAAAACACAGGCAUUUGCAGCUCUAUUUAUGGAGCCGUGCUCUGCCAGGCACCAGCGUGGGUACCCACUUGCAUCUUCCUGGGAGGCAGGACUGAUUUCAUCCCAUUUUCCAGGUGAGGAGACGGAGGCUCGACGGUGACAUGACUGCCCGGGGGUGCACGGUGGGUGGGGGGCGCCCAGCUGGAAUUUGCGCUCUAGUCUGUCCAAGCUUGGUGGUUAUGACCGUGGACUCUGGAACCAGCUCAGCUUCAGACCCCAGCUCUGGACUUCGGGGCUGUGUGUCCUUGGGCGAGGUGCUUGCCCUCUCGGUGCCUCGUCUAGAAAAUGGACUGCCUCACGGUGACCUUGAAAGCGGCUGUCAUGAGGAUCCGGGGGGUUAGCCGGCAAAAGUGCUUAGGCCAGCAGCUGGCACAGGCUGAGCUUGGGAGACAUCAGCAGGCAUGAUCCUCCCCGGCGGGCGCGAGGUGGAGGGGCGGCCCCAGAGGGCAUUUCAGGUGAGCCGCUCGGCCUCCCACUGCCCCUCUUCUCCGUGCCCUGGCGUCCUUGGGGAGCAGCGCCCCUCUAUCGAAGCUGAGGUCACAGCCGGGCCUGGGCAGCCACCAGAGUGUUUGUGGGCACCAUGCACACACAGCUGGACGCCCCCUCCUGCCCUCCAGACACCCCCCACCCCGCAGCCUCUGUCCCCCACACGUGCUGGGAGGCUAUUUUUGUUGCAUCCAGCUGAUGGAUGCUCUUGGCCGCGAGGCUGUGUCUGUGCUGUGGCCACGGCCGCCCCGCUACUAGAGGGAGUCUGGGGCCCCUCAAUUUUGGAGGGGCAGGCAGGGAGAGUCGGGGCCCCUGCUUCUUCAGGGUGGGGUCCCGGGCUUCCCACGCCGCCACCUCCAGGGAAGCAGGCACUCCCUGGCUUGUGUCCCCAUCGAGAGAUGGAGCAGUUUUAGCAGUUUUCUGUUCUUUUCUUCACUCUGACCCCGCUCGGGCUGGCCUUGUGGGGUCUCUCAGGGAGGUGGGGGUGAGCUUGCCCUCCCGUGGCCCUCCCCUCGGUGGAGCCUCAGCCCCUGCAGAUUGCUGCCUGUUUUUCUUCUUUUUGGCCGCAGCGCGAAGCGGCUUGAUGUGGGAUCCCCGUUCCCAGACCAGGGACCGAACCUGGGCCUCGGCGGUGAAAGCGCCAAGGCCUAACCACUAGACCACCAGGGAACUCCCUGCUGCCUCUUUUCUAUCAAUUCCUGCCUCCGCCCUGGAGGUGAGCUGAUAGAGCGGGAGGAGAGGGGAGGGCUGGAGCGAGGUACCCCAUCCUUACAGAGCACCCCACUGAGCUGAAAUUCCCCACCCGAGUGCUGGCCUUCUCACCUGGCCACCUGGCAGCUGGUCCAGGUGUGGCCCAGCCUGGCUGCCCCUCCCAUCCCCAGCCGCCGGGCCAGAGGCACCGGUCCCAGGAGGGGUGCCUCCCCUGGAAAUGAAUGGCCUUAGUGAUGGGUUCCAAAAACGACAGCCAAGCCACAAGGGCCGGUGGGAAAGGGAAAAUCCUUCCAGCUCCCCGUUCAGCCACAUCAUGGCAGACAACCGAGCCAUUCAGUGGCAAGUCAGCCCGUUAAGCAGGCUGCUUGGCAUGGCGGGGCCUGCUUUAUAUUUUUCAGCUGUUUUGGCAUCAGGUCGGGAGUUGCGGCGCAGCCAUCCUACCGUGGUAGAUGGCCUCUCUUCCUCCCUUGCAAACGUCCCUGUCACCAGGAAAUGCCACUAAACUACUUUGAGCCAGCCCGACCCAAGGCCAGAGGAGGCUUAUGGUAACACUAGACGCCUGCCGCUCACCUCCUUCCCAAAGGAGUAUUGAGAAGCAAUUAGGCCUUGUCCUGCACAUUUCCAGAGACUCUGAUGCAGGCAUUCAAAUAAAUACUUGGGGGGCGGGGAAUGUUUGCCUGUUGACGGGGAAGCAAAGAUAAGCCGGGGCUGGCCCUACAGUGUGGCGUCUCCUCUUCUCUCUGCCUCCGACGUUUCUUUCUGCCCCCCACCACCCCACCGCACUAGCCAGCCGGGCAUCCUGCCUCCUCUCCCGCCGUUUCAGGCUCCGUUGGCCCUGGAGUGGCUGUCUCCCGGGGGCCUGGACCAGGCCAUUGGAACUCUAGGCUAGAGACCCCUCUACCAUCCCCCAGACUGGGAGCAUUCGCCACAGGUGGCUCCCAGAAAGCAAGCUUCUUUCUGGCACCAUCUUCGCCCCUUUAGCGGGGGAAGGGGGGCACCCAGCAGAUUGGGGGAGCAGGCCUCCCUCUGUACCCAGCCUGUGAUUGGCCCAUAAUUACAGGUUUAUUGCCUGUACAGCUAUUGUGUAAUGACAUGUUUGCAAAUUAAUUUUUAUGGCUCCCGCCCUUAUACAAUAGAGGAAGGUUUAGUAUUAAUUACUACUGUUGUUCGUGUAAUCCCGGAGAAUUAAAAACCAAUAAAAGAAUGACAACAGAAACGC
ensembl:lncRNA